UACGUAGGGUGCAAGCGUUGUCCGGAAUUAUUGGGCGUAAAGAGCUUGUAGGCGGUUUGUCGCGUCUGCUGUGAAAUUUCGGGGCUCAACCCCGAACUUGCAGUGGGUACGGGCAGACUAGAGUGUGGUAGGGGAGACUGGAAUUCCUGGUGUAGCGGUGAAAUGCGCAGAUAUCAGGAGGAACACCGAUGGCGAAGGCAGGUCACUGGGCCGCAACUGACGCUGAGGAGCGAAAGCAUAGGGAGCGAACAGG
rnacentral:rRNA from 1 species